rnacentral:rRNA from 1 species
GGUUAAGCGACUAAGCGUACACGGUGGAUGCCCUGGCAGUCAGAGGCGAUGAAGGGCGUGCUAAUCUGCGAUAAGCGCCGGUAAGGUGAUAUGAACCGUUAUAACCGGCGAUACCCGAAUGGGGAAACCCAGUGUGACUCGUCACACUAUCAUUAACUGAAUCCAUAGGUUAAUGAGGCGAACCGGGGGAACUGAAACAUCUAAGUACCCCGAGGAAAAGAAAUCAACCGAGAUUCCCCCAGUAGCGGCGAGCGAACGGGGAGGAGCCCAGAGCCUGAAUCAGCAUGUGUGUUAGUGGAAGCGUCUGGAAAGGCGCGCGAUACAGGGUGACAGCCCCGUACACAAAAGCGCAUGUGCUGUGAGCUCGAUGAGUAGGGCGGGACACGUGGUAUCCUGUCUGAAUAUGGGGGGACCAUCCUCCAAGGCUAAAUACUCCUGACUGACCGAUAGUGAACCAGUACCGUGAGGGAAAGGCGAAAAGAACCCCGGCGAGGGGAGUGAAAAAGAACCUGAAACCGUGUACGUACAAGCAGUGGGAGCACAGGUUUACCUGUGUGACUGCGUACCUUUUGUAUAAUGGGUCAGCGACUUAUAUUCU